UACGUAGGCGGAAGAUUAAGUCAGUGGUGAAAUCCCGCAGCUCAACUGUGGACCUGUCAUUGAUACUGGUUUUCUUGAAUUUAGUUGAGGUAGGCGGAAUGUGUAAUGUAGCGGUGAAAUGCUUAGAUAUUACACAGAACACCGAUUGCGAAGGCAGCUUACUAAACUAUGAUUGACGCUGAGGUACGAAAGCGUGGGGAGCGAACAGGAUUAGAUACCCUGGUAGUC
rnacentral:rRNA from 1 species